AUUGAACGCUGGCGGCAUGCCUUACACAUGCAAGUCGGACGGCAGCACGGGAGCAAUCCUGGUGGCGAGUGGCGAACGGGUGAGUAAUGUAUCGGAACGUACCUUUCAGUGGGGGAUAACGUAGCGAAAGUUACGCUAAUACCGCAUAUUCUGUGAGCAGGAAAGCAGGGGAUCGCAAGACCUUGCGCUGAUUGAGCGGCCGAUAUCAGAUUAGCUAGUUGGUGAGGUAAAGGCUCACCAAGGCGACGAUCUGUAGCGGGUCUGAGAGGAUGAUCCGCCACACUGGAACUGAGACACGGUCCAGACUCCUACGGGAGGCAGCAGUGGGGAAUUUUGGACAAUGGGCGCAAGCCUGAUCCAGCCAUGCCGCGUGAGUGAAGAAGGCCUCGGUUGUAAG
rnacentral:rRNA from 1 species